rnacentral:lncRNA from 1 species
UUUCUAUGAAUGGGGAUCCCCUUUUCUUCUCCUCUUUCUUGAUUAGGAACACAGCCUUGUGAAAGACAGGAUGGAUCUUUUGACUCUAAUCCCAUUCUCUUUCAGAGUACGUGGAAAUUGAAGCCAUGUGGGACUUAACAAGAGAUCGAAUAGUGCCUUAAACAUCCCAGGGCAACAGGCCUGUCCCCAGAGGCUGGAGCAGCCCAUGUGAAGAGUCUUCCCUGGUGCUUGGGGGCCCUCUCUUUCCAGGCUGCUGCAGGCCUUGAUGAUGGCUUCUAAUCAUGCUUUGCCAUUUACUGGAAAGCGCCUUUUAGACUGCAUGUGAAUUCCUGGGUGUCAGCUGUUAUGAUGUCAGCUGUGAUGAUGUCAGCUGUGAUGACGACUAUCACAUGUAUAGAGGUG